rnacentral:lncRNA from 1 species
CUUAUUUUCUUAAAAAGAUUGGAUAGAGGCUUGACCCAAAGCCCGAUAUAUUUUUUGGGCCGGGCUUGGGCAAAGUAUGACCCGAUCCAAGCCCGGCCUAGUUCCAUCCCUAGUUAAUAUUCAACUAUUUCGAUAAAAUAAACGCUAAAGAAAGUGGAAAAACUUUAGUUCUUAAAUUCUUAUGCUAUUAACUUCCUAUCAAAAAACAAAGGAAUUAGAAGAAAGAAAUUGUGAAACCACUAAUUUCCUAUCAAACAAACAAUGAUAGAAAAGAAAUUUGCGUUUGAAUAUAUAUACAAGAUUAACAGAAAUCAUUGACAAUAUUUUAUGGUAAUAGCACAAGUUGCUAGUAAUACUCAACGAUAUCUUACGGCCAACAGCCAAUAUAAUAUGUGUAACAUAGGAGAAUUUUGUUUGGCGCGGACAUCCUGUGGUCAGUAAUCAAUCAAUAUAAUAUAUAUAAAACUAGAGAACUACAAGCAAAAUUGUAAAGCCACAUCAAGCUCCUUUCAUCAAAAUCCUUCAAAAACUGAAGUUUGCAAUCAGCCUAACUCAACGGUAAAAUCAAAAUGUAUUUUUAAAUAAGAUUAACUUUUUAAUAUUCUAUGUAAAAUUUGUAAUUAGCUCAACACUCUCUAAAAUCCUUCAAAAUUAUUUUGUACGCUGUUAUGAGCCAAAAAUUAAUCCCAUAGGACUAGUUCACCCAUUCUCUCGCUUGAUAGGCCUAGGUACGGUAUCCUUUUCCCUACCUUGUGUUGAUCCAAGGUGACGUAGAAUUCCUUAGGCAUAGGUGUGACCUUGAAAGUGAAGAAUCCAACCCCUGCUUAGGCGAUCGAUCUAGUGUCCAUCCACCAGCUCCACCGUAUCCUUUUUCCCGCCUUGUAUUGAUCCUAAGUGAUGUAGAAUUCCUUAGUCACCUUUUUCUUUGGAGGUUUAUCCUCAAUACUCAUAUCUCCAUUUGAACUUUUUUUUGAACCAUCAUUCAACCUUCUUCUGUUGGCCAACAUGCCUUAAUUAUUAAAAGAGAUAUGUCAUAAUAAUCCUUUAUUAGGCACGAGUUUAAGAUGGAAAAAAAAAACAUGUCCAAGCCUUUGAUGCCAAAAUAAAGAUAAAGUUAAAGUGGAGGAAACAGGAUAACAAGUACCCAUGGAAGGAAUAUGAAGAUUAUUGACAACAAACAAUCUUCCAACUUUACACCCUAUCCCAACUUGCUUCCCUAUCUUCAAUCCUUUACAAUGCAAACAGAUGAAUUAAAUAUUACGAUAAGCCCAAGAUCACAAAAUUGUCCAAUAAAAAUUAAAUUAAUAGAGAGUUAGGGACAAUAAAAGUAUUUGGUAAAUAUAAAUCUUUAGAUUUUGUAAGGCCAAUAUGGGUGGCCAGUAACAACUAAUCCGUUUGUAGUUCGAAUGAAUUUGGAUGAUGUCAUAGUGGUAGGUUUAGAAAGAAAUUAGGAAUGCAUGUCCUAUGAUUGGAGGCCGGAAUAAAAAAAUCAGUCAGUAGAGUAAAUACCUGAGGUGGAAAGGGCAAAACCAGAUGAUUGUGUACUAGAAAGGGCAGAAGCACGUGAUUGUGUACCAAUAUCGAGAGCUUGUUUUAUUAUCUCCUAAAUAUCAUCCAUAGUGAGAGAACUAGAGUUCACAUUAGAGGAUGCGGAAGAGUGUGCUCGAUCAUGAGAUUGUGGCGGAAGAACAAAAGAGGUAGUAGCUGCUCUUUGCUCAUACUUAUGUCUUUAUUAAUUUGUUCUGCAUAUGACGUGAGUUUGGAGAAGUGCAGAAUCUGACAGUGUGCCCGUACUACUUGUAAUAGUUGCACCAUACCUGUGACAUGUCACGUGGUGGGCCAGAAGUUGGUCGAGCAUCAUGAGGUGCACUGGUUUGAUAUCACAUAUCAUGAGAAAUUCCAGGAGGCCUUGCGUUGUGAGCUGUAGACGUGGCAAGAAUACAAGCAUCAUCUGAAUUAUGAAAAUUAGACGUUCCUUUAUAAGUCUCUUCUGCGGUUAAUUCUAAUAGAGCAGGAUUAACAGUGGAAAGUACGUGGUGUGCGAUAAAGAACAGAGGCCCUUACAAAUUCAAAAUCAUCUAUCAAGGACAUAAGGAAUUGUACUAAUUGAGUUUCUUUACGAUAUUGAUAGUAAAGUUCAGCAUCCAUGGUCCAUUUAGGUUCCAUUAGAGCUAAAUUGGUCCCACAGAAUAGACAUUUGUGAAUGAAAGUCUAAUACAGAUAGGCCUUUUUGUUGCUUCAGUAUGCGAAUAUCCAUUUCUAAUUUGUACUGCUGCGCAAAGUUUGUUUGAUUGAUAAUGUGUAGAAAGAAAAUCCCUCACUUCUUUAUCAGUGUCAAAUUUACUGAAUUGCAUACUGAUAGUUGGACUAACAGUGUUGGCAAUCCAGGUUAAUAUUUUGUUAUUAUUAACCUCUCAUUCUUCACACGUAUCAGAAGUACAAUCAGGGCAUUUUUAUUUACCAGUGAUGUAUUUCCAUAGACGUUUCUCUUUUAAAAAACUUCACACGAGAAAGGCCCAAUGACUAUAGUUUGUACUAUCAAUUUUGAUAGUAAUAAUUUGAACAGAUUUGUAAUUGUGGAGUUGUGAUAAUUAAGGUUGGAGAAGAGAGAGGGAUGCUAGAUAUGGCUCUGAUACCAUGAUAACAUGCGAACAGUGGAAGAUUGGGCUCAAAUGUUAUUGCUUCAUUCAACAGGGAAUUGUCCCUUUAUACGUGGAGAAGAUGUAAGAAGGAAAAUAAUUAAGGCUAUACAAAGUAAGUAUCUCAGCCCUAAAAAAGGAAGAAAAUAAGGAUAAAAGAAAAAGAAUGAUUAGGGAGCACAUAAAGCAAGUAUUUGAUGUUGAUUACUUGCCUUAAUGAUAUUCAUAUAUAUCAAAAUGUACAUUUGGUUUGGAUUGAUUUUUCAUUUUUAAAUUCAACACCAAACCAAUUUUUUCAGUUUGACAACCUUGUAAAUCAAAAUUAUAUUAUUUACAACUACAUGCGAAUCAAGUCAAAUUAAAAUUAUCGAUCUGGUUUGAUUUUGUGGAUUUUUUUAUGAUAAAAAUAUACAAAACUUAUUUGAACUAUGUACCAUUUUAAUUAAGCCAACCAUCCAUUUUGUUAGAUUUUUUAUUUUACCACCUGCCCAUUCAAUUUGUUUGAUUUCAGUCAGUUAAUAAUAUUUUAAUUUUAAAAUGUAUUAACUAAAUCUGUAAAGAUAAACUAUGUAUUUAAAUUUUAAAAUCAAAAUAUCAUUGACCGGCUUAAAUUAAACAAAUCAAAGAUUAAAAAUAAGAUUAAAAUUUUAAAAUAUUAGAUGGUUAAAUCAAAUGACCACCGAUAAAUUUGAAUUAAGUUGUAUACAGUCUUACCAUCUUUGAUUUGGUGCCCACCCCUGCAGAGAACAAGAUAUAAAUAAUUUCCACACUUGCAUGCAGAGAAGAUGCGACCAUCAAGUUUGCGCGAGGAACCGACGUGAUCGUGCCUGUGGCUCGGAAGGCAGCCAGCAGUCGUUGUCAGAUGAAACCCUGAGUCAGUCUGCCGAGUAAGUCCGAUGCUUGCUUCGUCGUCUGAUCUCCAGACAGAUUUUCGCCCCAGCAUGAUUCCUGCAUGCGCGCAGGUCAGAAACCCCAGCAUGCCAGCGAGUUCUCUCUACACUUCCCGUUGACCGCACCUCUGAUGUUGACUACCAACGUGUUUGACUCGACCGUGCAUUAAUUACUCCGAGAAACAAUUACCAGGACCAGGUGCACAAGAUCAUCAGUAGACCGUUAAAGCUAUUUAUGCGUGAGAAAUGCUUUGUGUGCUGGAAUUUUGGUUGGAUAUGUAGUAAAAUUUUAGUUGAAUUAGGAUAAAUAUUUAAAUCUAUUAGAGAUAAAUUAAUUAAGAUUUAAAUAUUAGUUAGAGUAGAAAUUUAAGAUUUGAAUAGUUUUUUAUAUAAGUUAUAAAUAUACGGCUUAGCCGCACCUAUAUUGCAUGGUCAGGAUGCUCAUAAUUUUGGAUGCAGCUAGUGCAUGAGUGCAAAAGGACAUGUGCGGCUUUCGUGGCCAUGGGUCAUUGAUAUGCCUUGUGGACAGUUACACAAAAUGAGAGAGAAAGUCUUCUAGGUUAAUAGAAGGUGAGAGAAAGGUGAGAAAGGUGAGAAAGAUUCAAAAAGAGGGCGGAAAUUGAAGCUACUUCACACUUUCUCACUUUAGUACCCUGUGGUUUAAAGUGUAUCAAGUUAGCCCCUGUGGUUCCGCACUUUCUCAUUUUAGUACCAUGUGGUUUAAAGUGUAUCAAGUUAGUACCAUGUGGUUUCAUUUUUCUCUUUUUAUUAUCCAUCUCACUACUUUUUUUUCGUUAAAUCAAUGACAAAGUUAAAAUUAAAGGGUACAAAAGUGAAUAUUCGAUAAACCUAGGUAGGUAUCUAAAGUUUUUGUAUAUAAUUUAACGAAAUAUUAACGGAGGAAAAAAAAAUCAGUGAUAAAGUUAAAACUAAAGGAUACUAAAGUAAAUAUUCGAUAAAUCUAGAUAGGAUAUCUGAAGAUUUUUGUAUAUAAUUUAACGAAAUAUUAACAGAUGAGCCAACGAAAAGAGAAAAAUGAAACCACAGGUACUAAAUUGAUGCACUGUAAACCACAGGGUACUAAAGUGAGAAAGUGCGAAACCACAUAAUACUAAAUUGAUACACUUUAAACCACACUGUACUAAAGUAAAAAAAUAGGAAACCAUAUGAGUUGUAUUUAAAGUUUUCCCUAACUUUUUAAAUGAAUUACCUAUAAAAAUUUAAAUUAAAGAAAUUAUAAUUUAAAAAGACUGUCGGUCAGAAAAGUUAAAAGUUGAGCGGGUCUCCAUACAUUUUUAACUUUAUUUAUUCAAGUAACCAUCGUCCAGUCAAUAUUAUUAUUUUUUUUAACUCGAAAGUUUUUUCCUUUGAAAGUAAUUUCAAUUACAACUUAUCCAUUUUGGUUUGGAGAUAAAAUAGAAACAACGAAAGUUAUUCCUGUUAUCGCGCCAAAUGGAAUGUUUUUGGACCGGAAUAUUUUAUUCCGAUCAAACAUUGCUAUUCCCGGCUAUUCCAGAAUAGUUUGAGAUUUACUAUUCCACACCAUUUUGACGGAAUAGUGCUAUUCCAAAGUUUAAUUUUGAGUUUUAUUAAGAUUAUAAAUUGAAUAAAAUUAAAUUAUAUAGACAUAAUAUGUUAUAUAUUAUAAUAUAUUAUUUUUAUUAUAAAAUUAUUAAUUUUACUACUUAAUUUAUUACUUUAAUAAAUUAAAUUAAUUAAUAUAUUAUAUUAAUUAAUUUGCUAAUUAAAUAAUUUAUUAUUUAUUAAUGUGCUUAUUUAAUAACCAAUAUUUAUAUUGAUUAAUUAAUUAAUAUUUUGACUAAUUUAAUUAUCUGACUGUUAUUAAUUAAUAUUUAGGGUUAUUUAGCAAUAUUCAUGAUUAAUUAGUAAAUUAAGUAAGUUGAAUUAUUAUUUAAUCAAUAUUUUUUAUUAAUUAAUUAGAUAAAAUAUUAUUAUAUUAAAAGUAUAAUUAUUCUUAUACUCCCGAAAAAAAAUUUAGUUUUUAUCGGAAUGUAAAAUUAAUUUUAUUUCUGUUUAUCCCAAGAAUUGUACCUAUCUAGGAAUAACUUAAAAUAGCUUAUUUCCGAACCAAAUAAUACAUAAGUAUGUGGACUUUUUGAGCAAACUGCUGAAUAUAGUACCAUUGCAGAAGUGCAGUGGAAAGUAGUGAUGUACUGUGGAGAAAUGUUAUACAACAUUUGACUGAUUUUGUUAUAGGAAAACUAUUUAUCGUAAAAAAUUGUUUGGCAAAAUUUUAUUAAAGGACCAUUAACUGUUGUAGAUUGUAUGAAAAAUAAAGUGAUUUUAUUUUCUAAAAAUAAUGGCCAAUUUGCAUAAAAAAUUUACUUAUUUUGGACUUUUGCAAAAUCGGGCCACCUUUUUCGUUUUUUCAGAUUCGGUCCGCUUUUUCAGCAAACUGACCAAAAUACCCUUAUUACUUUUUCUCUUUCCUCUUUUUUUCUCUUCUUCGUUUCUAUCGUUCUUUUUUUUUUUUCUCGCCGGCAGAGAGGAGGUGGAGCGGAGGCGGAAACGGUCCGUCUCGCCUCUCACCCUCAUGCUCUCGCCCUCGCCCUUGUCCUCGUCCAUGCACCCCCCAUCUUCCUUGCCUUCGACCCCGCCAAGGCCGCGCCGCGACUUUCUUUUUUUUUGCUUUUUUCUUUUCUUUUCUUCUCCGACUCUUCUCCACCGUCUCCGACGACGACGCCUCUCGCCCUUUCCUGCCCUUCUCAUCUCUCCCUCUCCCUCAUUUUCUGCCGCCUCCGACGACGAUUUAUCUUCGCCGGCGUCGACGUCGACACCGUAGAGGUCACUGCGGCACUACAGUCUCGGAGCGGGGGGUUCUUAGCGGCAUUGUCACCGGCGCCGUAGCUGUUGGCAGAGAAUGUGACAAAAAAAAUUAUAGAAAAAACAGAAAAAAAAAUAAAGAUAAAAAAUUAUAUAAAAAGAAAGAUGAAGAUGAAAUUGCAUCUUUAAUUACAAAAAAAAUUAUAAGUUGCACUAUUUAAGAUGUAAACUGCUGCUUUAAGAUAAAAAUUAUACUCUUUGAACGAAAAUUAUACUAUUUUUUAAUUUAAACUGCAUCCUUUUAAGUGAUAUUUAUACUGUUUCUUCUCUUGUUGCACUGUGUCUCCUCUUGUUGCACUGUUUCUCCUCUUGUUUACACAGAAAUUGUGCAAUAAGAGGAGAAACAGUGCAACAAGAGGAGAAACAGUAUAAAUAUCUCUUAAAAGGGUGCAGUUUCUCCUCUUAUUGCAUUAUUUCUCCUUUUGUUGCACUAUUUCUCCUAUUGUUUACACAGAAAUGGUGCAACAAGAGGAGAAACAGUGCAACAAGAGAAGAAACAGUAGAUAUAUCUCUUAAAACAGUGCAGUUUCUGCUCUUGUUGCACCAUUUCUGGGUAAAGAGAAGAAACAGUAGAUAUAUCUCUUAAAACAGUGCAGUUCUUCUCUUGUUGCACUAUUUCUCCUCUUGUUUACACAAAAAUGGUGCAAUAAGAGGAGAAACCGUAUAUAUAUAUCUUAAAACAGUGCAGUUUCUCCUCUUGUUGCACUGUUUCUCCUCUUGUUACACUAUUUCUCCUCUUGUUUAUACAAAAAUGGUGCAACAAGAGGAGAAACAGUGCAACAAGAGGAGAAACAGUAUAAAUAUCUCUUAAAAGGGUGCAGUUUAAAAUAAAAAACAGUGUAACAAGAGGAGAAAUGGUGCAACAAGAGGAGAAACAGUGCAACUUUUGUUUAAAGAGUGUAACUUUCAUCUUAAUGGAUGCAGUUUACAUCUGAAAGAGUGUAAUAAGAAGAGAAACAGUGUAAAUAUUUCUCAAAGAGUGUAAUUUUCGUUUAAAGAGUGUAGUUUUCAUCUUAAAGCUGCAGUUUACAUCUUAAAUAGUGCAACUUAUAAUUUUUUUUGCAGUUAACGAUACAAUUUGAUGUUCAUCCUUCUUUUUAUAUAAUUUUUUAUCUUUAUUUUUUUUUCUGUUUUUUCUAUAAUUUUUUUUUGUCACCUUCUCUGCCAACAGCCACGGUGCCGGCGACGACACCGCUAAGGACCCCCGCUCCGAGCCUGUAGCGCCGCAGUGACCUCCACGGUGUCGACGUCGGUGCCGGCGAAGAUUCAUCGUCGUCGGAUGCGGUAGAGAAUGAGGGAGAGGGAGAGAUGAGAAGGGCGGGGAAGGACGAGAGAGGCGUCGUCGUCGUCGGAGACGGUGGAGAAGAGUCGGAGAAGAAAAGAAAAAAGCAAAAAAAAAAAAAUGUCGCGGCGCGGCCUUGGCGGGGUUGGAGGCGAGGAAGGUAGGGGGUGCGUGGACGAGGGCAAGGGCGAGGGCGAGGGCGAGAGAAUGAGGGUGAGAGGCGAGACGGACCGUUUCCGCCUCCGCUCUGCCGGCGAGAAAAAAAAAAAGAACGAGAGAAACGAAGAGGAGACAGAAAGAGGAAAGAGAAAAAGUAAAAAGGGUAUUUUGGUCAGUUUGCUGAAAAAGCAGACCGAAUCUGCAAAAACGAAAAAGGUGGCCCGGUUUUGCAUAAGCCCAAAAUAAGUAGAUUUUUUAUGCAAAUGGGCCAAAAAUAAUUAAGUGAUUUUAGUUUUUAAAAAAAGAGUUUCUCAAACUAAUUGUUAAUUUUAUAAAAUUUAAUAAUUUAAAUAUUUUUUACUUACAAAAAUAAUAAUUUUUCAUGUAGCUAAGUAUAAAAAUUCAAAUACUAACAGUUAAGAGGUCUCAAUCGGAAAAAAAAAAAAAAAAUGAAGGUCGAAUUAAUAAUGGACUGUACUUGAGGGGUCUCCAAAUGGACUGUACUUGAGGGGUCUCCAUACAUUUUUUCCUAGAAAAAUUUAUUUAAAUUUAAUAAUUUUAUUAGGUAUUAACCUUAAUUGAUCUAUUAUUACUAAAUAGAAAAUAAAUAUAGUUUUAACAAAAUUUUUAGGCCCAUUUGUAUAAAAUAUUCACAAGUUUUGAGCUUUUGCAAAACUGGAUCGUUUUUUUCGAUUUUGUAGAUUCGGGCCGGAUUUUCAAAAAAUUGACAAAAAUACUCUUAUUCCUUUUCUCUCUCUUCUUUUUUCUCUCUCGUUCUUUUUCUUUUUUCCUCUCCGAAGAGAGAGGCGGAGGCGGAGGCGGCCUGCCUCGCCUUUGCCCCCCGCGCCCUCGCCCGCGUCCACACACCACCCGCCCUCCUCACCUCCAACCUCACCAAGGCUGCACUCGCCGUCGCCCUUUGGGACACCCCUCCUCGCAUCUACCCUAUGCGCCCUCAAUCGCAACCAUUCACCCCAUGCCCUCCUCGCCUCCGACGCUGCUAAGGCUAUACCCUGAUCUUCUUCCUUUUUUUUUCUGUCCAAACCUCCUCUACCGCCUUCAUAGCGCUUUGCGACCAACUUUCACCUCCACCUCCAUUGCAGCAAUUUUUUUUCCCACCAAACCUACUUCUGGGAACUCGUUGUCCUCACCACCACUGCCGACGAUGAAAAGGAAGCGCUUCUCUGCACCAAGAAGCUUGCUUGUAAGGGAGGAGGCACAUGACCCACCGUGCCCAUUUGGGACCAGCGACGAGCGAGGUGGUGACAGAGGAGAGCGUGAUGACACCGGAAAAGAUGGCGGGGUGGCGACGAGCGCGGCAUCCCAAAGGGCAGUGGCGUGCGCGGCCUCGGCGGGGUUGAAAGCGAGGAAGGCGGGGGGGGGGUGCACGGGAGCACCUCUGGUUUUAAGCAUUUUUAUUUGCUUGAAACAAAAAAAAAUAAAAAAUAAAAAAUUAGAGAAUGAGGAAGAAGAACUAGAGAAGAUGGAUGAAGAAGAUAAAGUUGCACUAGUAAAAUAAAGUUAUACUGUUUUAGAAGAACAUUACACUAUUAUAAACGUAAAUUACACUCUUUGAGAUAUAAAUUGCACCAUUUAAAAUGAAAGUUACGCUCUUUAAACGAAAAUUAGACACUUUGGGAGGAGAAACAGUGUAACUAUCUCUUAAAUAGUGUAGUUUUUAUUUAAAGAGUAUAAUUUGCAUCUUAAAGGGUGCUAUUUGGGAGGAGAAACAGUAUAAUUAUCUCCCAAAUAGUGCAACUUUUAUUAAAAGAGAGUAAUUUUCAUCAUAAAGGGUGCUCUUUCUGAGAAAAAUAGUGUUACUAUCUCCCAAAUAGUGUAAUUUUCAUUUAAAGAGUGUAACUUUCAUCUUAAAGGGUGUAGUUUAUAUUUCAAAGAGUGCAACUUACGUCUAUAAUAGUGCUGUCACGCCCCAAGACCUGCCUAUUUGGUCGGAUUCGGACCCGCUAACAGACCGCCGAACGGACAGAGUUUUUCAUGUACGUCCUAGGCGUCGCAAUCAAUACAAUUCGCGAGGUUCCAACCAGGAACAUAUUUCAAGCAAGAAUUGCAUAAGGAAGUAUCAAAAAUAUAAAACAACUAAGCUAUUACAAGCAUUCACAUCACAUGCUUAUUAUAUAUUACAUUUUUGUUUUAUUUUCUUCCGAAUACAAUCAAUAUUAUUACAACAUUGUAUUCUUUUUUUCUACAACCCCUAGCUAGGCCGACACGGGGUAUCGCUAUCUCUGAUCUCUGUGGUAGGGCGCUAUCUACGAAGCUACGCCCUUUCCUCGCGCCGCCGCGCCGCUCACGUGUGAAUCUGUAAUCCCAAAAACAACGUGGGGUGAGAACUAUUGUCCAUAGUUUCCAGUGAGUACGGCCACCCAAGGGAAGAGCUCGACCCACCAAGUCCAAAGGAGGCACUGCAACAUGUUAGUCCAACAGAUAUCCAAUAGAUAUAUAUAUGCAAGUAUUAACAUAUAUAUUAUGCCUCUCAACAUGCAACAAUGCAAAUCAUGUAAUAAGCUAAGUAGAUCGACCGAUUCUACUUUCAAUCCUGCUAUUCAUAACUCAUCCAAUUGACUUCCAAAUUUUCCUCUAUCUUAGAUUCAUGUCAAUUAUAACUCUGCUCCUAAGCUUUCAUCUACCUUUAUCAUUCAUUUGCUUACAAGGUUUCUACUACCUUUAUCAUUUGCUCACAAGGUUUCUACUACCUUUAUUAUGCUAUCCACCCGACUCGGCCUCGAGUCAAUCCGCCGCGGAAUACCGCAUAUAGUCAGGCUCGAGGUGAAGGACGUCUAACUUGCACCUCGGCCUUAAAUCCACUCAACUGGCCAAAUCUACUCUACUGGGAUACCGAAUCCACUCUGCUGGGAUUCAUAUGCUUGCCACCCAAUCUAACUGGCUAACCUGAAGGUUACGCCCCGACUCACAUCUCAAAAUCUCAUGGGUAAGGAGAAUCUGCACUCACACACCGAGACCACCUGCGGGACAACUACGUCUGCCCCUAGUGUGAUAACUCCGGAGCUCACUACUUGGGUGGAGCGACCACCACCAAGCUCAAAACAAACUAUGUGAGUAUGAUCCAAUCCUCCCUGCUCGAGGAUACCCUAUCUACCAGGGUUAUAGUGCUUCCGCCUCACUGUUUCACCCUAUCUACCAGGGUUAUAGUGCUUCCGUCGCACUGUUUCCAAAAGCCACAAAUCGACAACUCGGGAAAUCUGCUAUCCCUAUAUUCAUGUCAUAGUGUUUCUACUACACUAAUUUCUAAAACAUGUCAUAGUGUCUCUACUACACUAGUUCCAAAUACCACUCGAUCGACUUGACAAUCUACUUGUCCACAUCGAGUAUUAUAGUUUUCAUGUCUUUGUUUUUCAAUGUCGAAUUCUCUAAUCCACCUAGAGUUAUCGACCCAAAUUCAACAUGCAUAGUUCUUCUAACAUAAUCCAUAUAUGUCGACAUGCAUAGUUCAUCUAGCAUCUCAAGAUAUGUCAACAUGCAUAUUUAUCAUUUAGCAUCUUAUGAUAUAUCAAUAUGCAUAUAUUUUCAUCAUCCAAUGGUAGUAAUUACAUAGCAAUCAUCUCAUGCAUUCACCUAGCAUUUAUUUCAUGCAUUCAUCUACCAUUUAGUAUUUAUAUCAUGCAUUCAUCUAGCAUUCAUAUUAUGCAUUCAUCUAGCAUCUCAUAUCAUGCAUUCAUCUAGCAUUUUUAUGUUCUACAAUUAACUAUCAUUAUAUGCAUCAAUAACAAAACCGCAUUCCACUUUAACAUGGAAGCGAGCUAAUAUCUUCGAUGAGCACAACCCACCUCUUAACACUUUUCGAUUGCUUACUUGCAAUCGGCCUCCCGCGGCACGCGCUAUCCGGUUCGGCCCGAACUCGCAAUCGGCAACCGAACACACGUCGAUUCUCAACUUUGAGUCAUCAAGAGUCCUUCUCUAACCUUCAAUUAAAGGAUAAAAGGGUUAAAUGAGAUCAAAACCCUCAUUUGCUACAAAACCCCAUUCUAAACUUAGCAUGAGCAUAUUCUCCAAAUAACCCAAAUAUUCAUGGAGAAAACAUGCUAGAAACAUUCUAAGGGCUAUUAGAACACUAGGCACUAAGAAUUAAGCCAAAUCCCUAAAGCUUACCAAAAUGUGAACACCGAGACGGAAGCACGCCGCUCAAUCGGGCGCACGAAGGCCCGAUUCGACGCUCCCAACGCGUUCUCAAGCUUGCUCUCCGCCAACGCCGCGAAUUUGAAAGAGAGAUCUAGAAAGAAGAGAGAGAUAUCUAGAGAGAGAAAGGAGAGUUUCUCUCACUAGCACCCAAGAGUGUGCGUGUGAUGGUGCUCGGCUAAGGGAGGGGAAGAAGAAAGGCUUCUAUUACACAAAUAGCCCCUCAAAACACUAUUAUAACCAGCAGUUUAGCUUUCAGAAUCUGAUACUUUUCGCCGGAGUCCUUCUGAAUGUCCGUUUGCGCUCAAAUUUGACAGUCAGGCUCGGUUUAACUUAAUAAAAAUAAAAAAAAUUUAAUCUUUCAGUUCCAACCAUUUUUAUUCGCCGAAAGCUCUACCGAACUGAAAUUUCUAGCAGAUAGCAGUUAGAUUUUAUUUUUCACAUUUCGGGUGUCGGAAUGACAUGAAACUUUAAAUCUAGCCUCAUAAAAAUAAUCGCGGCAUAUUCCCAUAUUUUUAUAAUUUUCUGACACUGAAUUUUCUACUAAAAUAUCAGCUCCAUUUCUCACAGAAAAUUCUAAAUCUUCUGUUUCGGUUUCGAUUUCAACACGAGUCAUUCCAGACUUAUAUUUUACUUCUUUAAAUCCAAUAAAAAUAGUAUCUCACAUUAUUUUUAUUUACACUUGUUUUUAUAUUAAAAUUCGGUACAUUACAAGUGUAAUGUUCUUUUAAAAUAAUGUAACUUUAUUUUACAGUGCAACUUUAUCUUUUUUUUCCUUCUACUCUAGAUAUUCUUCCUUAUUCUCCAGUUUUUUAAUUUUUCGUUAAUUUUUUUUUGUUUUAAGCAAGCAAAAAUACUUGACCAGAGAUGCCCCAAUGCACCCCCUCCCCCUCCCCCGCCUUCCUCGCCUUUGACUUUGCCUAGGCCUCGCUUGCUGCCGCCCCGCCCUCUUUUCCGGCGUCGUCACACUCUUUUUUGUCUCUACCUCGGUCGUUGACACCGAAUGGGUGCAGUGGGUCGCAUGCCCCCUUCCUCGCCAGCGAGCUUUUUGGCGCCGAGAAUCACUUCCUUUUCAUCAUCGGCGGCGGUGGUGAGGAUGGUAAGUUCCCAAAAGUGGGUUUGGUGGGUGAAAAAUCUGCUACAGUGGGGGUGAAGGUGGAGGUGGGUUGCAAAGGACGCGGGGUGAGGAGGUUUGGAGAGAAAGAAAAAAAAAAGGAUCGCGGUUUAGUUGCGGUAGGGUCGAAGGCGAGGAGAGCGGGGGGUGAGUGGGCACGGUCGAGGGUGCAUAAGGCAGAGGCGAUGAGGGACGUCGCAAAAGGCAGCGGCGAGAGAAGCUUUGGUGGGGUCAGAGGCGAGGAGGUUGGGUGGUGCGCGGACGCGGGCGAGGGUGCGGGGGGCAAAGGCGAGGUGGGUCGCCUCCCUCUCUUUUCGGAGAGAGAAAAAAAAAGAACGAAAAAAAAAGAAGAGAGAGAAAGAAAUAUGGGUAAAUUCAGCCCAAAUCUGCAAAAUUGAAAAAGGUGGCCCAGUUUUGCAAAAGUUCAAAACUUGUGCAUAUUUUAUGCAAAUUGGCCAAAUUUUUAACUACAAAUUAUUAAUUUCAAAAAUUCAUAGUAGAGAUCAAGAGAAUAGGAAAUUAUUUAUAGUUUGGACAUAAUAAAAUAUUAUAACUUGUGCAAGAAUAAAUUUGUUAUUUUGGAAAAAAAAAACUUAAAAAGAGGAAUAGCAUUUCACAAUAGGCAACUACAAAAGCUCCAUUUAUGGAGCUUCUGCGGUUGCGCUGAAAAGAACUUUUUUUUUUUUUUUUUUUUUUGAGAAAUAGGUAGACGAGCUACCUGCUUCAUUCAUUGAUAAAUGAACUUGGCAUAACAGUAUGGAAGCAGCUAGGGCUUCCGGGGCGAGAGGCAAACAGCAUGAAAAACCAAAGAAAAGUCAAGAAGUACCAAAAAAGGCGAAAAAAAGAUAGUCUAAGAGGAUUAAAGAAGGUGUUGCGCAUUGUGCGGAGCCACAGAUUCGGUCCACAACUUCGUGAGAAGGGCAACAUGCUCAACCGCACGAGCGGCAUUGGGGCUCUUCGAGCGGAAGAUGAGGUUGUUCCUUUCCGUCCAGACAACCCACUAAGUAGCCGCCAAAGAGGUUAAGGCCUUAGAUCUUUGCGCAGUACUGGUAAUUGCAGUAGUACUGUUCCAAAGUGCCCGAACACAGAUCGAAUCGACGGCAAUGGCCUCCGCCUGAAAGAGUAAGAAGCGCGCGAAGAUGCAGCCGGUGAAGAGGUGGUCGCAACAUUCUGAAGCGAAGGCGCAAAAACUGUAGUAAUCUGCGACCUGCAUGCCACGAGUGAGCAGUCUGUUUGCAGGGGGUAAUCUUUUGCGUAGUAAGACCCAGAUGAAGACUUUGAUUUUGAUGGGAAUUUUUAGGGUCCAAAUGUGGCUGUAGAAGGUGUCCAUAAACCCAGUGUUGUCGAGAAACAUAUAGAGGGAUUUGACUGUGAAGAGCUGGUUAGGAGUCCAUCUCCAUCGCAGAAUAUCCGGCCCAUUCGCAGGGUAGAAGCAGAGAAGUAGUUCUUUAAGAAGUGCGAAUUGUGUGCAGUUGGUGUUGGAUCGGCUAAUCGCGAAUCCUCUGCAGAUGAAUCGCCAUCUCCAUCCGUUAGUAUUCCAGCAUUGAGAGACUCUGGCCUCCUUGUUGGUGAUGUUAGCAAAGAUAGCAGGGAACAGGGUGCUCAGAGGAGCUUCGCCUGUCCAGAUAUCUGUCCACAAUUUGAUGGUAGUGCCGUCUCCAAGUUGGAAAGAAAGGCUGCACUUGAACAAGUGUUUGCAUCGUAGCACGCUUUUCAACCACUGAGAGUAUGGUACGAAGGUUGUUCCUUCGUAUAGCGGCGUUCGUCUAGAGUAGUAGAGGCGUCUUAUCAACUUGCACCAGAUAAGGUAUGGCUCGUGAAAAAAGCGCCACCACCAUUUAGAUAAGAGAGCCUGGUUCAUGGACUCCAAAUCUUUGACCCCUAACCCGCCAUCUUCCUUGCUUUUGCACGCAGUUCUCAAGUUGACAAGGCAAGCGCCCCCUGAGACUUCGGAUCCUCUUUUCCAAAAGAAGGCACGUCUCAGGAAUUCAAUAUGGUCCAGAACCCAGUGAAGGGCUUUGAAGGUAGAGAGGUAGAAGAGCGGUAGACUUGUAAGGACAGAGUUAACGAGGGUCAGUCUACCUCCUUGAGAAAGUCGUUUAGCUUUCCAGCCGCUGAUUCUGACUUCAAUACGGUUGAUGACCGAGCCCCAGCCUUCCUUACGGAUCUGCUUGUUGUACAGCGGAAUGCGUAGGUAACGGAACGGUAGGUUGUCUGUUUUGCACCCUAUAAUGUGGGCAAGUCUGUCACCUCUACGGGGUCUGGGCCCUAGGUAGUAAAGUUGAGAUUUGUCCUUGUUGAUCUGGAGCCCAGAGGCCCAUUCAAAUAGUUUCCAGAGAAAAUACAGGUUACGAAUAACUCGUUUCGUAGGUUCGCAGAAGAAGAUUGUGUCGUCGGCGUAUUGGAUGAGUGCUGUCUCACAUUCUGUUGACGGCCCGAUACCAGAUAUUAGGUUGCUGCACCUAGCUGCUUCAGUCAUUCUGGCCAAGCAGUCUGCCACGAGGAGAAAUAGGUAAGGGGAGAGUGGGUCCCCCUGCCGGAGGCCUUUUCUUGCUUUUAUCUAGGGGGUGGGCGAGUUGUUAACUAAUAUGGCCAAUUUUGCGUUACACAUGCAUUGCUCAAUCCAAGCCCUCCAUUUAUCGCUGAAGUCGAGUCAGCGUAGUAAACUUUGGAGGAAAGACCAUCUGACGUUGUCAAACGCUUUUUCGAAAUCAGCCUUAAUGCUUACGCAUUCCUUACCGGUUUUAGAGCACUAAUUGACCAGUUCGUUUGCAGUGACGAAGGAGUCAAGCAUCAGGCGGCCUUUGAGGAAGGCAGCUUGUGAAGGGGAGAUGAUGGAAGGAAGCACGGUCGCUAGUCUAUUGGCCAGGACUUUGGAGAUAAUCUUCUGUAUGCCGUUGAUGAGGCUGAUCGGGCGAAAGUCAUUUACCUUGCUCGCACCGUCUUUUUUGGGGAUGAGGCAUACGAAGGAAUAGUCAACCGGGACAGUUGAAAGCUUGUUGUUCUGUAGGUCGAUGAAGACGUUAAAGAUGUCCCCCUUGAUUGAUUCCCAAAAGGUUUGAAAGAAGAUAAAUGGGAAUCCAUCAGGCCUAGGGGCUUUGUCGCUGCCUAACUGGAAGGUAGCCGUCUUAACCUCUUCUAGAGUAAAAGGGGUCGUGAGGAGAUCCGGGUUGAGUAGUCUAUUGGAAUUGUAUAGACUGCUCCAGUUUCCAGGCGGUGAGUGUUUCACAGCAUCCUGUCCGAAUAGCAGCUUGAAUUUGUGAAAGAAAUAUGAUCUCUUAUGGGUUUCAGACGAGAUUUGCUGGCCAUAAUCGUCUUCGAUGACUUCGAUCGCAUUGGUUUGCUUCCUACCGUUUGCAACUGCGCGGAAAAAUUUGGUGUUGUUGUCGCCUUCCCUUAACCAGCGCUGGUUGGAUCUAGUUUUCCACAAGAUUUCUUCCUCUGAAAGUACGUGUAGCAAAUCAGAGUUGAGGCUGGCCCGUUUGUCCAGCAAUUCCUUUGAUAAGAUAGUGUGUUCCUCUAGCUAGUCAAUGGCUUGGAGUUCUUGCGACAGUUCCUUCUUGGUCUUGGAGAUGCUAUAAAAGUUCGUCCUAUACCAUUCUUUGAUGCGUGCUCUACAGUGCCUGAGUUUAGCAGAUAUGGUUAGGAUAGCAGAACUCUUGGCAUCGACUUCAUUCCACCAGAUUGGAAUUUUGGCGACGAAGUCCUCCUUGGUGAGCCAAACCCUUUCGAAACGGAAUCUAAGCAUGUGGUGCUGAAAUUUCGUGCAAAGGAUAAUAGGGGUGUGGUCUGAAAUGAUGCGGGGGAGUGCCUUGAUGGUACAUAGAGGGAAGGUUUGGUCCAAUUCUGUGGAAACGAGAAAUCGGUCUAGUUUGGCCAUGGAUGGGGGUCGUUGCAUGUUCGACCAAGUGAAAGCUUGGUUGGAGAGUGGAAGAUCGAUCGCCUCAAGGUCGGAGAUGAGGUCGGAGAACAUGGCCAUGGCCCUUGAGCUCCCAGGGUUUCCUUUUCUUUUCGAGUGGUUUCUUGUGAAGUUAAAGUCACCACAGAUGACCCAAUUGUUAAUACAUAGUUCUUUGAGGGAAAGUAGCUCAGAGCAAAAUCUUCCUUGCCAUCCCAAGAUGGAGGCCCAUAGACGUUCGUGAGAUGAAAACCAUUGCCGCUAGCUAGGUGGGUAAGGUGAAGCGUGAGCGAGCGGUCGCGCAGUAGAACCUCACUACAAGAGAAGAUGCUUGAGCUCCAGCACGUAAUUAUACCACCAGAAGCCCUGGAAGCCGGGAUGAAAUGGCAUUUGUCAAAAUUGGAUCCGCAGAUGGAUCGAAGGAAAGACCGGGAGACUGAAUCCACCUUAAAUUCUUGAAAGCAAAUAACCGAGCUAAAGAGAGAGGACACGACAGAUUUAACACUACAACGCUUAACCGGGUCGUUCAGACCGCGUACAUUCCAACUGAGGAUACGAGACAUUAAAAACAAAACAGGGGACCCAAGACCCACACAAAAGGACAGAGUAACAUUGAUCUGUCAGGACAAAGGCAGCCUAGGCCUCGGCAAGCAGGAACUUGCGGAGUUCCACUGCUUCGUCGUCAGAAAGUGCCACCCCAUAGCGUCGGCUCUUUGCUUUCAGUAUGGCGCGUGACCACUCGUGGGUCGUGUUACCCGGGCAUGACGCUCCCUCGGACAGACUUGCCUUCCUGAGCAUCGCACGACGAAGGGCUGUCGACGCCGCCUGGUUGCGUAAGCGUGCACUCGAACGUGAAGGCUCCCGGGUGAAGGCAGGGGGGGCGGUCUGGUCGGUCGGGGGCGGUGCGUGGAGGGGAAAGGCAUGAGUAGAGUCCUGCCGAGGAGGUGAGGGAGCAGGAGCGGACCGCGCAGGCAGCGGCGGGCUUCCGGGAACAGUUGCAUCAAGGGGAGAGUCCGGAGUAGGUUCCGGCAUCGGGGUGGGGUCCGCGACGGAAGGGCCAGGCGGAAGGGGAAGGCGCCCACGGCCCUGAUGAUCCGCGGCGACAGGGCCGGGUGAGAGAGGAGGGGGCCCAUGGCCUAGGUGAUCUGCGGUGUCAGGGCCAGGUGGAGGAGGAAGGGGCCCCCAGCCCAGGUGAUCCGCGGCGUCAGGGCCAGGUGGAGGAGGACGGGGGCCCCCGCGCUGAUGAUCCGCUGCGAUAGGGCCGAGUGAGAGAGGAGGGGGCCCACGGCCCAGGUGGUCUGCGGCGUCAGGGCCAGGUGGAGGAGGAAGGGGCCCCCAGCCCAGGUGAUCCGCGGCGGAGGAACGAAGAAGGGGCGCGCCUAGCACGCAGACCCCAGGCCCGCACGAGAUUGGUGAUCCACCCAGCUGGAUGGUCCAGCAGGACAGUCCAAGUAAGGGAGGGUCGGGUCCACGGCCCACGGGAACAGAGCGAAGUGGGGUCCACCCUUGAUUGGUAACGGGCACGAGGAUCACGAAGUCCAAAAGCGCGGGGGCCGAGGCAGAUAAGCCAAAUCCCAAGUAGGUGUACCUGAGAUCCUUCGCACAGAAGAAAAGGCGCAAAUUAUCUGCUCCAACGGGAUGCACAAGGCUAGGCAGCGUGAAACAUCCAGAAAAGUGAAAGGGGGACUUAAUGUUUGAAGGAGAAGGACAGCCGGGCAUCAACGGGCGGCGGUUGCCAGUCGAGAUUGUACGGACAGCUGCCCUGUCGUCAGCAGACACCAGAGAGGAGAGCUUGAAUGGCGGGAGAUUUGAAUUCGAAAGGCGAACGACGCCUUCAGCCGAAGAGGAGGAAGCCAGCGGUGGCCGCUUGCCCGAAGCCGGCGGCGGCCGCUUGCCCGGAAACGGCGGCUGGGGAGAUGCGUCGGUGCGGAAAAGGUCGCCCGGCAGGGGGGAGAGCGGCUCGAGGGUGAAGCAACGGCGUGGGGGAAGUCGCGAAGCGUGGGUAAAGCGUCGGCUCGGAGGAAGUCGCCUAGUGGGAUAGGGGAGCGAGGUUCAGGCUGUCGCCUGAUCGGAGGAGGAGGGGAGGAUCGGUGCUGCUCGUCAGGACGCCUGUCCGGAGGAGGAAGGGAGGACGUUCUCUGAUGCCGGUGAUGCUCGUCCUGACGCCUAUCCGGAGGAGGAGGGGAGGACAAUCGCUGGUGUUGAUGUUGCUCGUCCGGGCGGCACAUGUAGGGCUCGACGAGGAGAGUAGGCCGUCUUCUGUCUAGAAUUUCCGAAGAGUUCCAGGUUGCAUCGUAGUUGGUUGACCCGCCGGUUGAUGACCUCCUACCUCUGUUAGUGGUGGCGGGGCAGUGUCCACCGAGCGGCGCAUCAGCAGGGUCAUGCUGAUCGACAUGCUCAUUGUGAAGAUUGUUGUCUUGAAGCCCGUCCGUGACGCGGAACCAUCUUUCCAGCUGGAUCAAAAUAGAGAGAGAGGUAUCUCCAAAGCUGAUCUCCAGGUUCUUCGAAAUGUAGUAGAGGUGAUUCACCGCGAUAAGGCACCGAUAGCCUGAAAGGUCAGCCAUACGGGUGGUGAAGUCGUCGGCGCUGAUGAAUCGGCCGAAGCCGCCUACGAGUGCAGCCACGGUCCUAGAUGACCAACACUCGUAUGGCAGGCUAACGAGCCUGAUCCAGAUCCUGUAGGAGAGAGGGGGUCUAGGUGCGCCGGUGUAGGGGUCCCAGGCGUAACAAGAAAGCCUAAUGUCUCCCAAACUGAGAGUCUCCCUACGCAGCAGCUGAUCGCACGGCACCCAUUCCGGCAAAAAUACGACAAAGUCGCGCUGACGGUAACGUGCGAUGUGGAAGUCGGACGGGUACCCACCAAAACGAUUCGCGAGGCCAUUAGCUAAGGUGUCCUGGAGGAAGUGGCCCAGGUUAGCCGGAGGGAGGACAUCAACCAGUAUGGCAUUUCGGCGGCUGAUCUGUCGGGCGCGGAAGUCGUCGGAGAGGGGCACGGAAGCGUUGAGGUAGGAGGGGCGUGCGCGCAUGGCACGGUAGACAGCCAUUGGCAGUCGAUGCACAUACUAAACCCUAAACCAAUAAACACAUGUUGACGUUGAUAGGACUUAGAAGGAAAUCCGACGAUUUCGGUAAGGGUGUGUUUGGAUCCCUCUAAAAUUGCUCCGAAAUUUCUUUUCGUUAGAAAAAUUUUUUUCCGACGUUUGGUUGCCUGUAAAAAAAUUUUUUGGAAAACUUUUUUUACAGAUUCUCUAAAAAACUCAAGUUUUCAUUUUUCGCUUGCCUUCCACAGAAAACGAAAACCCAUUAAUGAAAAGGCGCGGGUCAAGAGAGGUUUGAGCACGCGGUCCACGAGUUCAUCCUCGCCUCGUGGACGGCGUGAGACCAAGGUGCACUCCCAAAAACGAAAACCCAUUUUGAAAAAAGGCGCGGGUCAAGAGGUUUGAGCACGAAGUCCACGAGGUCAUCCUCGCCUCGUGGACCGCGUGAGAGGGAGGUCCACAAUGGACCUCCCUCUUAUUAUAUAUAUAUAUAUAUAUAUAUAUUAAUAUAUAAUAUUAUAUAUAUAUUAUAUAUUGUUAGUUAUAAAUAUAUAUUUAUUUAUUAAAUAUUCAUUUAUUUUUAUAUAGAAAUAUUAUUAUAUAAUAUUUUAUUUAUAAAUUUGUAAUUAUUUAUUAAUAUUUUUAAAUAUAUAACUCUUAUAUAUUAUGUAAUAUAUUUAUUAUAAUUUUAAAUAUAUUUAAUCUAUAUAUAAAAAUUAUAAUAAUAAUAUAUAUAGUAUAUUAAUUAUUAUAUAAUAAUAAUAUAUAUAAUAAAAAAUAUAUUAAACUAGUUUUCAUCUAUUUUUCUUUUCCUUUUCAACCAAACAACUAUCAUGGAAAACUAUUUUUCUUUUCCUACAAACCAAACACUAAACUACGUAAAACUUUUUUUCCACCGAAAAUUUUUCUUCCCAGUUUUACGUCGAUCCAAACAGCCCCUAAACUUCAACCCACCUCGCAAAGCUCGUUCAACCACGGCGAGGAGUCGAAAGGAGGAAAAACACGCGGCUAUCAGGUGGCAUACCCGGCAACUCAGCUGGCAACACAUCCCCGAACACCCGUACAAUUGGGAUAUCAUCAAUCUUGACGGCUUCUCCGUCACUCACAGAAAUACUAGCCAAAUACGCUACACAACCCCUUUGUAUCAACUGUCGCGCUCACGAGGAGCUAAUAGUCAUUGCGAACAAUGAACUUUGACACCCCUUAUAAACAACCUCCUGCUGACCCGGUUAUCUAAAGGUCACUGUUCUGUUCGUGCAAUCUAUGGUGGCAUAAUACCGUGUCAACCAAUUCAUACCCAAUACUACAUCAAACUCACCCAGUUUGUGUAGUGCUAAUAAAUCUACUGGCAUAAUCCAGUCGUCUACCCGAACGAGGCAGCGAGGGCAAAACUCAUGAACAUCUAAGAUAUGGUUGGGCACGAUCACUCGUCCCAGAUGUAAAGUAGGUACCAACUGAAUGCUAUGCAACUCGGCGAACUACCGAUCAAUAAAAGAAUGUGAAGCACCCGUAUCAAAUAAAGCACGAACACGAACAUCAUAAAUCAUAAUAAUACCUGCUACGACCUCCUCCGCUGCUGCGGCUUCCUCAGUCUGGGCAGUAUACAUACGCCCACUCGAACCCUGCCGAGGACUCUCAGAUUGCCGCUGUCCCAGUGGUCGUCUAUACUGAGAGGGUGCUGUCGGGGUCCCCUGGCUCGAAGCUGAAGAUGUAGGUGCUGAUGCUGAUGAGGGUGCAGAUGAAGAACCUCGCGGGCACUCUGAGCGAAAAUGGCCCUCCUUGCCGCAGAUAAAACACUUGCCCCCACAUUGUGGACACUGUGGUGGAAAGUGAGGCCCACCACAAAUGACACAACGUGGCUGUCGACGACGCUCCGGUGCUCCACGGGGUGCUGAAGAACCUCGACCUCUCGAUUGGCCCGGUUGGCCCCUUGGAUACUUUGGCGGUCUCCUGAAGGAUUGCUGACCACUGCUCUCAGCUGUUGGUCCUUUUUUCUUUACUUCGAUCAACAAUAUCUCUUUCCUUCAUAAUCUCCGCCCCUUUCUCAAUAAUCAAUGCUCGGUUCACCACCUCCCUAUAAGUCGAUAGGUUUGCUGCUUGCACCAACCUGAAGAUCGCAGGUCGCAACCCCACCUCAAAGAUGCGAGCCUUAUCUUCAUCAUCUCUGACCACAAAAGGAACACAAUGCAGUAAUCGAGAGAACUCUCGAUCAUACUCAGCUACUGUCCUGUCCCCCUGCCUCAGAUUUCUCAGGUCCCUUUCCACCUGCCUCUUUACACUCUGCGGGAAGUAUGUUGUCAACAAUAAUUCCUUGAAUCUCGUCCAAGUGAUCGUUGACAAAUCCACACAGGGGUCCUCACGGAUAUCUACCCACCACCUGUAAGCCUCGCCGUCCAGAUGGUGCGUCGCAAACCAAACUUGGUAUCGCUCCUCAACAAAAGUUUCUCCAUGUGCAUUAGCCAUUUCUCGACCACCCAAUGAUCGGCUUUCUCCCCGUCAAAGAUACGAGGGUUGCAACGACGGAAUUCAUUCAGUCGUUCCAUCAUCCGCUCUCGCUCCUCAGCCCCCACCAUCUCAGGUAAUACUGUCCCUGUCGCAGCCACAUGCACUGGUGGUGGUACUACUGUCUCCUGUCGGGUCUCUACCCUCGGAGCUACUGGCGAGGUAUUUCGUACCGGUGACUGUGCUCUCACGGUCGUAUCCCUAUUUGGUCCUAUAGGCAUAGAAUCAGGGAUCUCUCUGUCAGUCAUCUGCUGCAGUAACAAAUCCUCUAACCGCUUUAUCCUGUUUUUCUGUCGGCGCGCAGCAUCCAUCUGUUGUCACGCUGCCGAUGCCUGCUGUGUCACUAGCUCAGUCAACACUGCGAGCUGAUCCCGCAACUCCCGGACCUCACUGGACCCGGAGGUAAUAGAGGUCUCCACCUCCUCCGCAUCAGCCGCCUCAGCUGCCUCGGCGGUCCUCGAACGAGUCAAAGGCACCUUAAGCUGCAGCACAAAACAAACAUAGAUUAAUAAAACCUAUACUAUGGAACCCUUACUUCUGAUAGAAACCAGCUAACCGAGCGAAAGUAAUGAAAUGUAACAUAUACUAACUUCCGAUGUCACGUUGUCGGCCACCAACGUGGCCCUCUGCAAAGUUAGUAAUUGCACAUUCCGAUCAAACUCCUACCAUUUGGAGUUUAUAAGUUACCCAAUCGAAGUACUUCCGCUGACCCCAAACUCGACUAGACCUCGUCUCUCACGAGCCUAUUCUUAUAGUCUAACCAGCCUAAGGUUUGCUAAGUUCACUAAGACUCAACCCUAGGCUCUGAGACCACUAUAAUCUGUCACGCCCGGGUACCUAGCGGAAGCAUAUCCGGCACGGGUACAAACCCGCCAUACACCUGCAGUAUAUAAGGCGUCUACAAAACGAAGCAAGUCGAUAGGAAGAAAACAUAGAGAAUCCUAUCCUGAUAUCAGAGCAAAGUACAUGACGAUAAUACUAUCAACAAAAGAACAAAGAGUAACCAAACCAAAAUCUCACAUCAAAGAGAAGUAAGAAAACUAUUAUCACUGGUUCUACAUACUCAUAUACAUCACAGGGUUACUCAAAACAUAGGUACAGUGGUAGUCUCUCUAAACAUAGGGACAUAACCCCCGGCCGUAGCCCGAAUAGCAAGGUGAUUAACUAGCACGCUCCAAACUAUGACUAGCUAGACGCGACUCCCUUGCCACGAUCCCUAGCCUCUCCUGUAACAGGCUCUGUAAAAACAAUAAUAAAAAAAAAGGCGUGAGAACUAUUAAACAAUAGUUCCCAGUGGGUAAGCCGCCAGCCUCGGCGAAUUACACCACUAGGCUCAUGAUGUACUGAAUGAAAGUAAAAGCAGUAAUUGCAUGAUAUAUUUAUGAGGCUAGUAAGUAAUAAGCAUGAAAUCAACAUGUAAUCACUUUCUACAGUAAUGAAUCAUUUGCAUAAUAAAGGUAUAGCAACUGCUGUAAUCAUGAACAUAAACAUGAACAUAAGCACGAUUGUGUAAGUAACUACUGUACACUAUAACCGGUAACCAUUCAUUACUGUCAACUGUCAUUUAGAACUUUCAUUUCAUUCAGAGUUUUCCUUUUAUUCAUCAGGACCUACACAAGGUAGUCCGGCUUGCGCCGCGCCUAAUGGCCCCUUGGUAGUAUACACUCCCCACGGCAAUCCACUUCGGCACCCAAUCCCGCACGGGCGAGCAACUGUUGCGUAGGCCAACUCCGGAGUGUCGGCUUGUAGGGAGCUACCCUCACAAGCGUGUGCGAAUGAGCACAAUGGCAAGCAAGCAAAGUCUAUAGUUCAAUAUGUCUCAACAUUAGGCCGUAAUGCACAAUGUUCUCUCUCUCGAUCUGUUGAUCGGAAUUCUAAUAUAACAAAUAUUGACAAUAACUAGUAUCCACUAGAUUAGUAAACAUGUGAAAGUAAUACUAAUUUACAUAUGGCAUUAGAAACUUUCCACUAUCAUGGUACUAUCAACAUAAUCACAAGGCAUGUCAUUGUUCUCUACUGUAUAAUCAAUAAAUUCAAGAGAAUGUCAUUGUUCUCUACUGUAUAGAAGCAUAUAGACUUGCCCCUUAGAUAUUCAACAGAACUAAACAUAACCAUAAAUACCUUCAUGCAUAAGUUUUCUCUACUUUAUAGAGAUUUCAAUUCAACUAUGUAUCAAACAUGAUGGAGACGAGUGUCGAGUCCUUAUCAAUCACAUAAUUAUAAAAGUGCCUAUGUACCAACUCUAUAGUGACAUAUAGAACAUAGGGGAGCUUCACUUGCUCUGGUUAGGUCAAACCCACCUAUUACCAUGCACAAAUCAACCCAACAAAGCCCCGAAAAUCAGCUCCACUAGGUCUCAACCCUACUGGAAACAAAACAUCGAAACCGUAUCAAAAUUACAACUGAAAUGUCCAAUUUCGGCAUAAUUUGCACUUAGAGUACAGAAGUAACUUAAAUCCCUGUUUUGAGUUGCAUUCAUACCUCAAAUGCAACCUCCAAGAGUCCUCACAAGUCAGCCGAAGAUGAUCCAAGGCUCGAUCACAAUCUCGCUGCGAACAGCGUCAAAAUGGCAUCAAAAUGCUUAUAUACGCGUUAAAAUAGCCGAAAUCUAGUGAUUUCAGUUUUCUAACUGAAAUUUCAACUUACCCUUAGUUUAACCACCUCCCAAACUAGUCCCCCAUGUCACGAAAUUAGCUCAACGUGAUUCGUAAACCUGCUGCGAAGGAACAAUUCCAAACUGCAUCAAUUACUUAAUUAACUUCGUAUCGUUCCGAACUAGCUUCAUAAUAACUAAUUACCUUAGUCCAGCUUUAAAGCAACUUUUCACUGAGCUAGAGUGGAGAAUUCACAGCCAAAAUAACUCCUCUUUACUUCUGAAAACAUCCUCUAAUUCAGUUGGAAGCCAGGAAAUCCAAACGACUCAAAAUCCGAUACGAAACCACAAACUAGAGGAAAAAUGAAUUAAUUACUUCUCUACAGCUGAGAUUUAGCUUCUCUGAUGAUAAACUUACAAAAAAAACUCAGUGAAACACCUUCUCCCCAUGUUCCAAGAAUUUCCUUCAAGUCCCCAAGUCAGCAAACAUCAAGCGGAACGCGAAAUCGACGCAAAUCGGCGACUUUCUCGUAGAGAGAGAAAAACCCUAGAGAGAGAAAGAAGGAGAGAUGCAGGGUAGCUUCUCUGAGCUCUAGCACCAUCUAAGAAGCUUCAGGGGUCGAGCUGAAGGUAAGGAGAUAAGAAUAGAAUGUGAAAUUACCAAAAUAGCCUUGCUGCCACGUUUCUGCCAUUGUGUACCGGUACAAUGAUGGCUGUGCCGGUACACAAUGCAGAAAAUUCUGAUUUUCGCCAGAGCAAUACACUUUCUCGCUUUUAGCUUUCCAAUCACCCUCGAACUUGUCCAAAAACUUGUCUAAGCCUUUUAGAACAUGUAGGAUAGUCCCACAUAUCAAUCCACACACUCGAACUUCGCAAUUUGCUAAAGUUCAGUGUAUUACACAGCGAGACUUUCAAAAACACAUAAUCUCCAACCUGAAACUCCAAGUCUCAUUUCCUGAUAUCAGCGUAGCUCCUCUGUCGACUCUGGCUGUCGCAAGAUGUCGUCGUAUAACCUUGACCUUCUCCUCUGCCUCCAUCAUAAUCUGAGGCCCCAGAGUCUUCCUUUUACCCACAUCACUCCAAUACAAUAGUGAUCGACACCUGUGUCCAUACAACGCUUCAAACGGAGCGAUCCGAAUGCUCGCUUGAUAGCUGUUGUUGUACGCAAACUCAACCAGUCUCAAAUGUCGAUACCACCAUCCUUCAAAGUCUAGGACACAUGCUCUCAACAUAUCCUCUAGAGUCUGAAUGGUCCAGUUGUUGUUCUACUCCCUCUCUCUCUCUAGUUUUGGACGUAACUCGUGGUGGAGUUCGUGGCUCGAGCUUGGGUGGUUUUCAACGUCGAUCCAGUGGGCCGUUCGAGCGUGUGUGCAUCGCGGUUGCGCCGUUGGAGGCCGGGCGAGCAUGUGGAUUCCCUCCUUUCGACUUCUUGCCGUGGUUGGACGAGCUUUGCGAGGUGGGUUGAUGUUUACCGAAAUUGUUGGAUUUCCUCCUAAGUCUCAGCAUCGUCAACAUUGGUUUUGUUUCUUUUGCUAGUACUCGAAUUCAUGGAAUUUGUAUAUUAAAGCAUAAAAUCUAAAUUUGGAGUUAAGCUAGUGAUUGUAUAUAUGUUGGACUUGAAAAUUGAUUUCGUUGAUAACCACUAAACCUGAGCUCGAUCCGCGACCUCCACCACGAGCUACGUCCAAAACUAGAGAGAGAGAGGGAGUAGAACAACAAUCCUCCUCUCUGAGCUCUCUACAACUAUAUAAGGGCUAAGGAUAAGGUUGGUGUUA